rnacentral:rRNA from 1 species
UACGUAGGGUGCAAGCGUUAUCCGGAAUUAUUGGGCGUAAAGAGCUCGUAGGCGGUUUGUCGCGUCUGCUGUGAAAACUGGAGGCUCAACCUCCAGCCUGCAGUGGGUACGGGCAGACUAGAGUGCGGUAGGGGAGACUGGAAUUCCUGGUGUAGCGGUGAAAUGCGCAGAUAUCAGGAGGAACACCGGUGGCGAAGGCGGGGUC